rnacentral:rRNA from 1 species
CCUACGGGUGGCAGCAGUGGGGGAUAUUGCACAAUGGGGGAAACCCUGAUGCAGCGACGCCGCGUGAGUGAAGAAGUAUUUCGGUAUGUAAAGCUCUAUCAGCAGGGAAGAAAAUAACAGUACCUGACAAAAAAGCCCCGGCUAACUACGUGCCAGACGCCGCGGUAAUACGUAGGGGGCAAGCGUUAUCCGGAUUUACUGGGUGUAAAGGGAGCGGAGACGGGAAUGUAAGUCUGGAGUGAAAGCCCGGGGCCCAACCCCGGGACUGCUUUGGAAACUGUGUAACUGGAGUACAGGAGGGGCAGGAGGAAUUCCUGGUGUAGCGGUGGAAUGCGUAGAUAUCAGGAGGAACACCGGCGGCGAAGGCGUCCUGCUGGACUGAAACUGACGUUGAGGCUCGAAAGCGUGGGGAGCAAACAGGAUUAGAUACCCUUGUAGUC